GUUGGCCAUCAUGCUCUUUUACCACUGGAUCGUCGUACUCUGUAGCUGUGCUCUGUCCAAGAUGGAAUAGCUAGCAGCACAUCAAACAAAGUUAAGAAGUCAGUACUUGGCGGACACCAUUUGAUCAUUGGAACAAUACACGUAAGAAAUUUGAAUUU